rnacentral:lncRNA from 1 species
GAUUUACAUAGGCUCUUUCAGUGAUAAACUAAUGAAGGCUUAUAUAGCUCUUACUACCAUAUGGGAUUCCAUGCAUAGUUCUUCCUCAUCUGCAUGUUUCCUCUGUAGCUGGUCACAGCUGUGUUCCCUGUUUGGAAUGGUUGUCUUAGUUCAUUUUCCAUCAGUUGUGUUCAUCUGUAUUCUAUCUUUUUUUUUCUGGCUUAUUUUUUUUCAGUCACUUAUUUGCCAGUUUCUCUUCAACUUUCUGUGUAUGUUUGAUUUCUUGAUAAAUGAACUAACCUGCAAGACUAACAAGUCUUCCAAUAUUUUUAGCAUUUGCCAGGAAAGAAAGCUCUGUAGGUGAGGAAGCCUGCACAUUACAAAGUGUUCUGAGACCUUCUCUAUUCCAUAGUUUUCAAAGAUAAUCGGCAGUGGCUCCAAGGUAGCUUUGUCUGGCCAGAUACUUCAGAGAGACCGUAUUAGAUUCGUUGAGCUCCAAAAACAAAGAAUUUUAAGAUUUCCUUUCUUGUUUUGAAUUCCAGAGACUAAGCCAGUACCUUUCAGUGAACUCAACAGAUUGAACAAGACAAGUGUAAGUGGUUUUCCAGAUCUACUUUUAUUCGCAUAGUUCUUCCCUGAACGCUUUCCAAACUUCACAUGUCUCAAAUCUAAAUUUGCUGAAUAAAUGUCAAGCAGCUAAAUCCGAGCAAUGCUGCUAAAGGACUUGACUCGCACCCUUCUGGUGACUGGUUACCACGUAGCAAGAAUGUGAUUGCAAUGGAAGCUGAUCUGUAGCCUGAGUGAUGCCAAUACUUGAAACCAUAACAGCAUCAAGAUGAGAGAGUGGAAAAAUGGAUGGUGUUUCUGGAUAGAUGUUCAUCUGGAUGCGUACUCACAAUCCUUACUAGUAUAAGUCUUGGGUGCGCUGCCCUUCUUCCUCCUUUGGCCAAUCCCUCUGUUCUCCCCAACUUGUGAUGUAUUUUAGUUGUCUGCAC